rnacentral:rRNA from 1 species
ACAGCAGUCGCCACGGUAAUACAGAGGGUGCGAGCGUUAAUUGGAUUUACUGGGCGUAAAGCGUGCGUAGGCGGCUUCUUAAGUCGGAUGUGAAAUCCCUGAGCUUAACUUAGGAAUUGCAUUCGAUACUGGGAAGCUAGAGUAUGGGAGAGGAUGGUAGAAUUCCAGGUGUAGCGGUGAAAUGCGUAGAGAUCUGGAGGAAUACCGAUGGCGAAGGCAGCCAUCUGGCCUAAUACUGACGCUGAGGUACGAAAGCAUGGGGAGCAAACAGGAUUAGAUACCCGCGUAGUCCCUGUCUCUUAUAA